rnacentral:tRNA from 1 species
GGAGAGAUGCGAGAGUGGUUGAAUCGGGCGGUCUCGAAAACCGUUGAACCCCUGGGUUCCGAGGGUUCGAAUCCCUCUCUCUCCG